GAAAUGGGCGGGGCUAUCUGGUAAAAACUGAACUAUCAAUUUGAAUUUAACAACAAACUUUCUUUGUAAACUGUGUUAAUAUCGCUGCAGAAUGCGCGACAGACUCCGGUGUGUCUCAUAAUGAGGCACUAGAGGCCACAGUCCAAAUGUAAUGGCCACAUUUCGGACAUGGUGGCGUCUGUCCAUCUUGCUGGUCACCCUGCCAAAUUGUUUUGCUCCAGGUCCUCCUGCUGCUCCCUCUCCUCCUGACUGCUCUAUCCCAUGUGGUGAGACAAACAACUGUGAAGAUAUCCACUGUAGUUGGGAUGCAAGGCUGGAUCCUCAGAUCACCACCAACUACAGCCUGCACUGGGGGACAGCAAAUAGAGAAGAGGGGCAUGUGAUCAAUGGGCCCAGUUUGUUUGGGAUUAUCCAGCGUGAACACUUCCCCAGCCAUGAAGAACUUCGUGUGUGGGUCCAGGCUAAGAACCAGCAUGGUUCUGCCAAAUCUCUGGAGGCUGUGUUUAAUACAGCAGAUAUCAGAAAGCCGCCCCCUCCUAAAGUCACAUUGAGCCAUAAGGAGUCAUUAGAGAUUGACUGGAUUUCCACUUGUGAUGAGCUGCAGCUCUCUUUGGGAAGCUGUUAUGUCCGACAUCGGACAGAGGCAGACCAAGACUGGCUUGAGGAAGAGGUGGGAAGCCAUGGCUAUACAUUUGACAGUCCCCAGCCCAACACAGUCUAUGAAUUUCAAGUUCGCUGUUCCUGUGUCCCAGGCUUGUUGAGUGACUGGAGUGCAACCCACAGAAUACGAAGCACAGAGACGGCCCCUGUAGGAGAGCUGGAUGUAUGGAGGGACUGUGGGAUAUCCCAGGCAAGCUCUGACUGUGUUCUGUCCUGGAAGACGCUUCCUAUAUCUCAGGCUUGCGGCCUCAUUCUGGGAUAUGAAGUCAGACUGUCAUACAAUAACGGCACUGCCGUGUUGGUGAAUAUGUCCACAGCUGAGCCAAGGGGGCGAUUGUUGUGUGAUGAAAUGCAAUGCCACUUCACUUUCUCUCUAAAGGAUGUAUCAUCAGUCAGUGUGUCUGCCUACAACGCGCAUGGUGCCACAGUGCCUUCUUAUCUGCCUAUGCCAAUACCAGGUAAAGAGAAAGACGAGCAAGCUCUUCACCUUGUGAUGAAUGAAGAGAACCUCAAUGUGUCCUGGGAUCUGCCCUCUCAGCUUUUAGACAACCUGAAGGAAUAUGUGUUGCAAUACAAACAAGCAGGAAGUCCUCCAUGCCAAGGAUUUGAUUGGGUCAAAGUAAACAAAAGCCAAACAACAGGAAUUUUGAAAGGUCAAUAUACAAAGUACACACCCUACCAAGUGUCGCUGUUCACAGUAUCUCACAGCAAUAAAGUUCAUCACCUAUCAUCAGUUAUUGGAUAUUCACUUCAAGGAACCCCUUCUAGUGUGCCAUCAUUUAAGGUGUUUUCCAUUGCUGCCACUCAUGUGUGCCUGUUUUGGGAGUCUAUUCCCCUCUCCAAGCAGAAUGGGUUGAUUCUAUACUACCAAGUAGUAGUAGACAGUGGAGUAAACAGACAAAAAGUGUACAAUGUGAAUGCAUCCUCACAGCAUGAAAAUAAGACUUUUAAGCUGCUGCAUCUCAGUCCAGGACAGGAGUAUGAGGUGCGGCUAAGAGCUGUGACUGCAGCCGGGCCUGGAGCAAAUGCCACUGCAAAGUUCAAAACAAAGCACCACGAAGAUUUUGCACUCUUAAUAGCAGUCGUGCCUGCAAUCCUUUUUGUGGUUGUAAUAUGUGUUCUUGCUUUUUGCAGUGCUUGUCGAGGAGAAAACAAAGCAUGUCCACUGGUGCCUCCUUUUUUCUAUGACAAAGUGCCAGAUGCGCGCAACAGCCAAAUUUUCAGACACAUGACGCACCAGACUAUUGACUCAUUGGCAUGGAUCUGCAUUCCGGUCUAUGAGCCACAUCCCAAGAUCUCUCUGUUGGAGGUUGUGGAAAUCCAGCCCUGGGCCUUUAAGUCCUCCCUGGAGGAAACCACAGACACUGACAGAUUAACUAGGCCAGUGGUUGGAGAUGGGUGCUUACAGAUGGACUGCCAGGAUGAUCAGAGGGAGGAAGCUGUCACAGAGGAGUGUCAUAGGACAGACCACAGAUAUCGAAGAGAGGAGUACAGCAAAAUGGUUGACUCAGAUGAGGAGAGGGAUAGGGAAGAUUGUUGGAGCUCAACAGAGGAAGAACAGUUAACGUCGGGUUACGAAAAGCACUUCAUGCCCACUGCUUUUGAAAUACUGGAAGUUUGAUGUUUUCACUACGUUGGCUUGUGGACAUUCAUCUCAGAUAUGUGUUGUAUUUUUUUUUGUUUUUAUUGUGCAGAAAAUGUUCAAUAUUGGAAUGUGAUUUUAGAUGAUGACCGUCUGGACAGGCUUCUGUAGCCUCUCUCUGCAGGACCCAGGAGGGUGGAAUCCAGUCAUGGGAGAGCUUAUCUACUAAAUCAAUAUAAAGUAUGUCAGGAAUUAUUUGUCACUGACAUUGACAGCAGCUGCUCGUAUACAUAAUCAUAUGUGUAAGUAUUUCAGAUGUUUGUAUGUUGGAAUGUUAGAAGUAUAAUACAGACAUUUAGAGGCAAAAACUAACUUCCAGAUGCACUUGUGAAUGUGUACAUUUGUAAGGCAGAAAGCCCAUAUAACCUAUUAAAGCUACAAGAAUUGUUGCUAUUUUGAGCCCACUGAACGUAAAUGUUGACAUAUCAGGUGCUAUUUCAUGUUAUUAUUUCCCUAUAUAGGCAAAUUAUCCACAUCCAUAAUUUUUAGUUUAC